rnacentral:rRNA from 1 species
UGAGGAAUAUUGGUCAAUGGGCGAGAGCCUGAACCAGCCAAGUAGCGUGCAGGAUGACGGCCCUCCGGGUUGUAAACUGCUUUUAGUUGGGAAUAAAACAGCGGACUUGUCCGCUCUUGUAUGUACCUUCAGAAAAAGGACCGGCUAAUUCCGUGCCAGCAGCCGCGGUAAUACGGAAGGUCCGGGCGUUAUCCGGAUUUAUUGGGUUUAAAGGGAGCGUAGGCGGAUUGUUAAGUCAGCGGUUAAAGGGUGUGGCUCAACCAUGCAUUGCCGUUGAAACUGGCGAUCUUGAGUGCAGACAGGGAUGCCGGAAUUCGUGGUGUAGCGGGGAAAUGCUUAGAUAUCACGAAGAACUCCGAUCGCGAAGGCAGGUGUCCGGGCUGCAACUGACGCUGAGGCUCGAAAGUGUGGGUAUCAAACAGG